rnacentral:snoRNA from 1 species
GCGAAGUGACGAUUAAUUCAAGUCUGUCAAUCCACUGAUUUAUUGUGAAGACAAAAUUGAAUCCCGACAGGUUCUGAUCGC